CUUAGGGGUGCCGUAAGGCUGAGAUUAUACCCUUGAACCUGAUGCAGAUAAUGCUGCCGUAGGGAAAGUUAAA
rnacentral:ncRNA from 1 species